UGUUAAGUACGUUGAACCCUUGAAAGAACUUCAAAUGUUUCAAGAAUCAUCAAUAAGAACUUGAUGAACACCCCUGUCUCGAAGGCAGAGCCAUGGAGAGGGUCAGCUUCCCAGUUGACAUCGCUUCUCUUCUCUUUCCUCCUCUGCCCCCCCAGAAAAUGUAACUUUGGAUCCAGACACAGCACAUCCCCUCCUCAUCCUGUCUGAGGAUCGAAAGAGUGUGAGACAGGGAGAAGUGCGUCAAGACCUGCCAGACAACCCUGAGAGAUUUGACAGAUAUACCUAUGUGCUAGGAUGUGAGGGUUUCACGUCAGGCAGACAUUUCUGGGAGGUCACUGUGGGAAGAGAGGAGAGAUGGGGGGUGGGGGUGGCCAGGAAGUCUAUGAAGAGGAAGGGUGAUUCCACUUUUGGUCCUAAGGACGGGAUCUGGGGUUUCGGGAAGUGGAAAGGAGGGUACAUCCCCAAUAAGGCCCCUGUUCCAAGUGAGGAGCCCAAGAGGAUCCAAGUGGCCCUGAACUAUGAAGGGGGACGGGUGUCCUUUUACGAUGCUGAUACAGCAGCCCUCCUCUACACAUUCCCGGCAGCCUCCUUCUCAGGAGAGACCCUCCAGCCCUUGAUUUACGUGGGGAAGAAAGAGAACCUGAGACUCUCUUGACUUGAGGGUGCAGACAGACAAGCGUCAAUCAUGAUGCAACUCUCUCUUCUUGGGCCAGCUUUCACUGGACAACAAACCUUCCUUAGCCUCAAUCCUGCUCUCAGAUUCCCUUUUCCUCCCCCAAGAUCUCCACUGGCCAGGGAGAUGGAAGUUCCAAAAUCCCUUUUUUUGCUACUCCUCAGGGAAGCUUAUGUGGCAAUUCAGCAAAAUCUCCAUAUCCAAAGAGACCUGUUUGCUAGUUGAGUGCAGAUUGCACCCUGGAGCCAUUCCUUAAAACAAAUUAAUAAAUAGAAAGAACACAAGAGACCGGGACGGGAAACACUGUUGGAAGGGACUGUGUGAGAUCUCUCAGGAGUCUCCAGAGCCCAGAAAGCAAUGAGAGGGUGGGGCUUUGGCAGUGGGGGAAAGAGUUUCUAAGUCCACCUUGCUUACUGACCUCUAGAAAGGUCAAGAUCUCUGGCUUUGGACAAGUAAGGAUGGUUGCUUGGGGGGCAUUUUCGAGGGUCUUCCUGACUUAUUCAAUAUUGCCCUUCCAUACACGAAGAGUCGGACACGACUAAACAACAACAAAAAUGCUGACCCCAGGAAUGUCACCCGCCCACUUAGGUCUUGGGCCUUGAUGUAGCAAAAUCCCCUCUGACAAUGAGGAGCCUCUGUCAGAGGUUCUGAAUGACAAUCUAGACUAGAGACUUUCAGGGGGGGGGGUAAAUUCCCAUGUAUACAAUUAUUUACUCCAAGAUGCUUUGUAGUGACCAGUCAGAUACUUAUCUGUAUUUUUAGAAAUCACCUCUUCUUAUAUUUUUGUAUAAUGGGCCUGAAAGUAUUUGGGGAUAUGUUUCCUGUGCUAACGUGUUUGAUUCUAUUAAAGAUUGUACGUCUUGUUGCUUCUAUUUUGUCUGAUACUCAAUAGUAUAAUAACCAUUCCCCAUGACACUUCCUCCAGGGAUUUUAGGAGGGUGAUA
rnacentral:lncRNA from 1 species